AUUUUGGGUGCCUCAGAUAUUACUGCCUGGGCUGGCCUCCUUUUCUCUUGACCUCUGAAAGAGGCAGAAGAAAAUUUGGUGUCCUGGAGGACUGCAGCCCUGCCAUUUAGAUGAAGUGGAAGGUCGAAGGAGCUUGCUGGCCCUUGGCUGGUGUGUGCGUCUCAAAUCUAAAUUCCAGAAGAGUCACAGAAGAGGACAAAAGGACACAGAAAUGCAACAGAAAGGAACUGAACCCACAAACAGGGGAGAGUUGCUCUCCAUGAGUAUGUCUGAGAUGCCUUUUACUUCUAAACUAGCCAAUGAUAAUUGUGCUGGCUUGGCUGCAUGGAAGAAUUCUGCACAGCAGUCCCUGGCUCAUAGCAGCAAAGACGGGCUCCAACCUCUUCAGGAGUAGCAUCAUGGGCAGCCACAGCCUGGGGAGCCCUAAGCCACCACUGCCAUUCAAGCCUCCUCCUGUGCUGGCCCAUGAUUGAGCACUCCUCUGCCCAAAUGCUGGUUGCAUAACGUUCCCUCAUUAAAAAUGGACAGAAUUACAGAAAACAAAGGGCUAAAAAUGCAGGUCCAAUGAUUCUGCUGAAAAGGCAGCUUCUUUGCUGGGUCCUAAGCCCCUGUGCACCUCAUGGUGUUUAAAUCUGUGAGGGUGUGCUCAAUGCUGUUUCACCCAGGUCUCACAUAUGCAUGGCAGGGUGCCCUUGGAUUUUUCUUUUUAUUUAAUCUUUGACUUUACAGUGUUGGAACUUGCUUCCCUGUGAAACCGGAGAAGGAGGGAUUGCUGUGUUCUGCUUGUUGUGUGUAUCAGGCUUUGCUUUUGUUUUUAUUCCUUUUAUUGAGUUACAUAAAGAAACUCAGCAACUCUUG